rnacentral:rRNA from 1 species
UACGGAGGGUGCGAGCGUUAUCCGGAAUCACUGGGUUUAAAGGGUGCGUAGGCGGGGAGAUAAGUCAGAGGUGAAAGCUCAUCGCUCAACGAUGGAAUUGCCUUUGAUACUGUUUUUCUUGAAAUAUGUUGAGGUUGGCGGAAUGAGACAUGUAGCGGUGAAAUGCAUAGAUAUGUCUUAGAACACCGAUUGCGAAGGCAGCUGACUGGACAUUAUUUGACGCUGAGGCACGAAAGCGUGGGGAUCAAACAGG